rnacentral:rRNA from 1 species
ACAGAGGUCCCGAGCGUUGUUCGGAUUCACUGGGCGUAAAGGGUGCGUAGGUGGCAUGAUAAGUUUGAUGUGAAAUCUCCGGGCUCAACCCGGAAAAUGCAUUGAAUACUAUCAGGCUGGAGGUUUGGAGGGGGGACUGGAAUUCUCGGUGUAGCAGUGAAAUGCGUAGAUAUCGAGAGGAACACCAGUGGCGAAGGCGAGUCCCUGGACAACACCUGACACUGAGGCACGAAAGCUAGGGGAGCAAACAGGA